GGCUCGGUAGCUUAGUUGGUAUAGCGCUCGUCCAGCAUUCAAGAGUCCUGGGUUCAAAUCCCAGCCGAGCAC
rfam:Aedes aegypti strain Liverpool supercont1.181 genomic scaffold, whole genome shotgun sequence.